rnacentral:tRNA from 1 species
UGCGGGGUCGUCUAACGGUAGGACGCCUGACUCUGGAUCAGGUAGUCAAGGUUCGAAUCCUUGCCCCGCAGCCU